rnacentral:misc_RNA from 1 species
GCAAACUUGGUCAUUUAGAGGAAGUAAAAGUCGUAACAAGGUUUCCGUAGGUGAGUAAUAGUCGCAUAUCACUUUGGCUCAAAAUUUGAAUAAUGUACUGACUUAUUUUAGGUGAACCUGCGGAAGGAUCAUUACCGAGUGUGGCCCCAUUUUUAAAACAAAUAGGGGUACCUCCCGUCCUUUGCAGGGCCCUUUGGGGCUUUUUGAACUUUGCUUCGGCGGGUUUACCCCCGCCGGAACACCCUCAAGAAAAUCUUUUUUAAAAAAAACUGUUGUCUGAGCAUUUACGAAAUAAAAACAAAACUUUCAACAACGGAUCUCUUGGUUCUGGCAUCGAUGAAGAACGCAGC